AUAAAUGUACCUGGGCAGGGUUCCGUUUGGUGUCGCAGAAGUCUGUUGCCAAACUCGGGGGUCAAUGUUGCGAGACUGCCGC
rnacentral:lncRNA from 1 species